GUCUUUAGAAGGUGCUAUUCAUAUUUCUGUCUUGAAAAAUACUUCCCAUGGUUUACCCCUGGCUUCUUCGCUUUUGACGGUUCUCCCUCGUUGGGGAGGGCGCCGCCGGGGUAGGGAAGCCCGGGCCGAGCCCAGACGCGGGCGCAAGUCUGGAGAAGCGCGCGGCCCCCAAGAGUUCGGCCUACGACGCCCGGCUGCGCCAGAAGGUGGCGGUGAAGAAGCUGUCGCGCCCCUUCCAGUCGCUGAUCCACGCGCGCAGAACGUACCGGGAGCUGCGGCUGCUCAAGCACCUGAAGCACGAGAACGUACUUGGUGACCACCCUGAUGGGCGCCGACCUGAACAACAUCGUCAAGUGCCAGGCGCUGAGCGACGAGCACGUUCAAUUCCUGGUUUACCAGCUGCUGCGCGGGCUGAAGUACAUCCACUCGGCCGGGAUCAUCCACCGGGUAGGUGCGACCGCAGGGUGAGGGUCGGGUCCAGCAGGGCUCCGUCCCAGCCUCCUGUGCUCACGCUCCGCGUGACCUGCAGGACCUGAAGCCCAGCAACGUGGCUGUGAACGAGGACU
rnacentral:lncRNA from 1 species